AUCCAGCUGACGAGUCUCAAAUAGGACAAAACGCGCGUUCUGGAU
rnacentral:hammerhead_ribozyme from 1 species